rnacentral:rRNA from 1 species
AGCUCACUGGUCGAGUGAUCCUGCGCCGAAGAUUUCCGGGGCUAAAACUUACUACCGAAGCUACGGCAUCAGUAAUGAUGGGUAGGGGAGCUUCCCAUAUGGGUUGAAGCAUGACCGUAAGGACAUGUGGACAGUAUGGGAGUGAGAAUGUUGGCAUGAGUAGCGAGAUGUGGGUGAGAAUCCCACAGGCCGUAAACCCAAGGUUUCCAGGGGAAGGUUCGUCCGCCCUGGGUUAGUCGGGACCUAAGCUGAGG